rnacentral:rRNA from 1 species
UUUAAUCGAAGCAACGCGAAGACCUUACCAGGUCUUGACAUCCCGAUGCUAUUUCUAGAGAUAGAAAGUUACUUCGGUACAUCGGUGACAGGUGGUGCAUGGUUGUCGUCAGCUCGUGUCGUGAGAUGUUGGGUUAAGUCCCGCAACGAGCGCAACCCCUAUUGUUAGUUGCCAUCAUUCAGUUGGGCACUCUAGCGAGACUGCCGGUAAUAAACCGGAGGAAGGUGGGAUGACGUCAAUCAUCAUGCCCCUUAUGACCUGGGCUACACACGUGCUACAAUGGUUGGUACAACGAGUUGCGAGUCGGUGACGGCGAGCUAAUCUCUUAAAGCCAAUCUCAGUUCGGAUUGUAGGCUGCAACUCGCCUACAUGAAGGUCGGAAUCGCUAGUAAUCGCGGAUCAGCACGCCGCGGUGAAUACGUUCCCGGGCCUU